GUGCAUCAUCCCCACAUCACUUGUGUAAUAAGACCAUGUCAUUACCCCCAUUUUGUUCGCUUGUUUUUUCCAAAAAAAAAAAACAUCUUGCAGAGAGUGUUGGGAGCCCUUUGGUUUGGUGCGUACACACAUGGCGAGGCAUUACUACUUAUAGUAUCCCGGACCACGCACAUUUCCUCAUUUGCUAGGUCUUGUCAGUUCUCAGAUGAAACCCUGUGCAAGCUGAUGAUACCUCCUCGGAUCUGAAGAACUGCCUGCGUCGGCUGUAUUGGCUUCGGCAGGAAGAGGUGAAUUCAGCAAGGCCCCCCGAGCCCUUCUGCAUGUAAGUGAUGGAUCGCCUAUUCGUCUCUGUUCUUGUGCUGUGUCGACAUCAACAGGCUUUACUUCCACGGAAUGGUCGAUCGAUCGGAGGCGUUUCUGGUUCUACAACUACGGAGGAGAUCCGAAAUCUGGUUUUUUGUUCGACUAGAGGCUUUACUUCCAAGGAAUGGUUUUUUUUUGUUUCUCCACAUACAUGCAUGGACAAGUAGCCAGCAGUAGUCUGAAGAAGCUAGAGAUGCUUAAUAGUAGUCAUUGGUUGAUGCAUGGUUCUAUUGGUCCCGCAUGCUCUCUGUCAAGCCGGAGCUACGAUGACCAAAUUCUGUUCUUUUUGCGUAGGAUUAGGAUGUGCUGGGAGAACCCUCAACCUCUAGCUAGUGGAACAACAAAAUCAGGCCAUCGUCACGGGCAGGCCCGCGCAAAGAUUAUUAGGUAGUAGCAUACGCUGCUGCCGACUGAUAAUGUAAUGGCGCGGCGCUCAACUGGCAGCCAAACAAACGCAGGCUCUGACGGUCGCCGAUCGAGCUGGCCCCAUGAGGCCAUGAGGGGAGGCGUUUGCCUUUUCGCCACCA